rnacentral:rRNA from 1 species
UGUGAACAUACCUAACGUUGCCUCGGCAGGUCGCACCUACCUUGUAGCACCCUACCCUGUAGGGCCUACCCGGGAGGUGCGGGUAAGCCUGCCGGCGGCCCACCAAACUCUGUUUGAUAUUGAAUUCUGAACCUAUAACUAAAUAAGUUAAAACUUUCAACAACGGAUCUCUUGGUUCUGGCAUCGAUGAAGAACGCAGCGAAAUGCGAUAAGUAAUGUGAAUUGCAGAAUUCAGUGAAUCAUCGAAUCUUUGAACGCAUAUUGCGCCCAUUAGUAUUCUAGUGGGCAGGACCGUUCGAGCGUCAUUUCAACCCUUAAGCCUUCGUUGCUUAGUGUUGGGAGCCUACGGCAACGUAGCUCCUCAAAGUUAGUGGCGGAGUUGGUUCACACUCUAGACGUAGUAAUUUUUUAUCUCGCCUAUUAGUUGGACUAAUCCCCUGCCGUAAAACCCCCAAUUUAUCAAGGUUGACCUCGAAUCGGUUCAGACAAACUCGCUAAAUUGAAGCAUCUUAGUCAGCGAAGGAAAAGAAACCAACAGGGAUUGCCCUAGUAACGGCGAGUGAAGCGGCAACAGCUCAAAUUUGAAAUCUGGCCCUCGGGUCCGAGUUGUAAUUUGUAGAGGAUGCUUUUGGCGCGGUGCCUUCCGAGUUCCCUGGAACGGGACGCCUUAGAGGGUGAGAGCCCCGUACGG